rnacentral:rRNA from 1 species
AUUGAACGCUGGCGGCAUGCCUUACACAUGCAAGUCGAACGGUAGCAUGGAGAGCUUGCUCUCUGAUGGCGAGUGGCGAACGGGUGAGUAAAGCAUCGGAACGUACCGUGUAGUGGGGGAUAACGUGGCGAAAGUUACGCUAAUACCGCAUACGCACUGAGGUGGAAAGCAGGGGAUCGCAAGACCUUGCGCUAUACGAGCGGCCGAUGUCAGAUUAGCUAGUUGGUAGGGUAAAGGCCUACCAAGGCGACGAUCUGUAGCGGGUCUGGGAGGAUGAUCCGCCACACUGGGACUGAGACACGGCCCAGACUCCUACGGGAGGCAGCAGUGGGGAAUUUUGGACAAUGGGGGCAACCCUGAUCCAGCCAUGCCGCGUGAGUGAAGAAGGCCUUCGGGUUGUAAAGCUCUUUCGGCCGGGAAGAAAUCGCACAGGCUAAUACUCUGUGUGGAUGACGGUACCGGCAUAAGAAGCACCGGCUAACUACGUGCCAGCAGCCGCAGUAA